rnacentral:rRNA from 1 species
GAUUUCUGGCGUGAUGCUUCCUGUCCGCGUCCGUUAGGCCGUGAGUACGGGACUGUAUCUGCCAUCCUUCCGGGAAGCCCGUCUGCCCUUCACUGGGUUGGGCGUGCGACCUGGAUCGUUUACUUUGAAAAAAUUAGAGUGUUUAAAGCAGGCGAUUGCUUGAAUACAUUAGCAUGGAAUAAUGAAAUAGGACUUUGGUUCUAUUUUGUUGGUUUCUAGGACUGAAGUAAUGAUUGAUAGGGAUAGUUGGGGGUGCUAGUAUUCAGCGGCCAGAGGUGAAAUUCUCGGAUUCGCUGAAGACUAACUUAUGCGAAAGCAUU